GAACGCUGGCGGCGUGCCUAAUACAUGCAAGUCGAACGAACUCUGGUAUUGAUUGGUGCUUGCAUCAUGAUUUACAUUUGAGUGAGUGGCGAACUGGUGAGUAACACGUGGGAAACCUGCCCAGAAGCGGGGGAUAACACCUGGAAACAGAUGCUAAUACCGCAUAACAACUUGGACCGCAUGGUCCGAGUUUGAAAGAUGGCUUCGGCUAUCACUUUUGGAUGGUCCCGCGGCGUAUUAGCUAGAUGGUGGGGUAACGGCUCACCAUGGCAAUGAUACGUAGCCGACCUGAGAGGGUAAUCGGCCACAUUGGGACUGAGACACGGCCCAAACUCCUACGGGAGGCAGCAGUAGGGAAUCUUCCACAAUGGACGAAAGUCUGAUGGAGCAACGCCGCGUGAGUGAAGAAGGGUUUCGGCUCGUAAAACUCUGUUGUUAAAGAAGAACAUAUCUGAGAGUAACUGUUCAGGUAUUGACGGUAUUUAACCAGAAAGCCACGGCUAACUACGUGCCAGCAGCCGCGGUAAUACGUAGGUGGCAAGCGUUGUCCGGAUUUAUUGGGCGUAAAGCGAGCGCAGGCGGUUUUUUAAGUCUGAUGUGAAAGCCUUCGGCUCAACCGAAGAAGUGCAUCGGAAACUGGGAAACUUGAGUGCAGAAGAGGACAGUGGAACUCCAUGUGUAGCGGUGAAAUGCGUAGAUAUAUGGAAGAACACCAGUGGCGAAGGCGGCUGUCUGGUCUGUAACUGACGCUGAGGCUCGAAAGUAUGGGUAGCAAACAGGAUUAGAUACCCUGGUAGUCCAUACCGUAAACGAUGAAUGCUAAGUGUUGGAGGGUUUCCGCCCUUCAGUGCUGCAGCUAACGCAUUAAGCAUUCCGCCUGGGGAGUACGGCCGCAAGGCUGAAACUCAAAGGAAUUGACGGGGGCCCGCACAAGCGGUGGAGCAUGUGGUUUAAUUCGAAGCUACGCGAAGAACCUUACCAGGUCUUGACAUACUAUGCAAAUCUAAGAGAUUAGACGUUCCCUUCGGGGACAUGGAUACAGGUGGUGCAUGGUUGUCGUCAGCUCGUGUCGUGAGAUGUUGGGUUAAGUCCCGCAACGAGCGCAACCCUUAUUAUCAGUUGCCAGCAUUAAGUUGGGCACUCUGGUGAGACUGCCGGUGACAAACCGGAGGAAGGUGGGGAUGACGUCAAAUCAUCAUGCCCCUUAUGACCUGGGCUACACACGUGCUACAAUGGAUGGUACAACGAGUUGCGAACUCGCGAGAGUAAGCUAAUCUCUUAAAGCCAUUCUCAGUUCGGAUUGUAGGCUGCAACUCGCCUACAUGAAGUCGGAAUCGCUAGUAAUCGCGGAUCAGCAUGCCGCGGUGAAUACGUUCCCGGGCCUUGUACACACCGCCCGUCACACCAUGAGAGUUUGUAACACCCAAAGUCGGUGGGGUAACCUUUUAGGAACCAGCCGCCUAAGGUGGGACAGAUGA
rnacentral:rRNA from 2 species